UCCCGGUUAACCCGGGCAGUCUCGCUAGAGUUCCCGCCAUCACGCGUUGGCAACUAGCGAUAAGGGUUGCGCUCGUUGCGGGACUUAACCCAACACCUCACGGCACGAGCUGACGACAGCCAUGCAGCACCUGUACAGCGACCCUCGCGGGCGACGACAUCUCUGCCGUCUUCCACUGCAUGUCCAGUCUGGGUAAGGUUCUUCGCGUUGCAUCGAAUUAAACCACAUGCUCCACUGCUUGUGCGGGUCCCCGUCAAUUCUUUUGAGUUUCACCCUUGCGAGCGUACUUCCCAGGCGGUAUACUUAUCGCGUUGGCUACGACACAGCCGGGGUUGAGUCCGGCUACAUCAAGUAUACAUCGUUUACAGCAAGGACUAC
rnacentral:misc_RNA from 1 species